CUCAACACACUUUAAAGCCCGAGGGACAAUCUUGGGAAUGAAAUUGUCACCAUCAACAAUACAAGCCUUAAACAUCCUGGCUGGUGGGAUUGCAGUAAUAAUCUCAGAUUCAUAAGUGAAAAUUCCCAUGGUUAUAUUCUAGUGAUUUUGAGAAGUGUUUAAAGAGGUUUUUGGGCCGUUGACAUGUAAAUCGGAAGAUGAUGUAUUUAUAGACUCUGAGAAUAGUGAAGAGAGCUUGCAACUUCGAUCCUGGUUUGCAUAAGGAUCUUACGAUUUCCUUGAUUUGAAGCUCAAGGUUCUUGAAUGCAGUCAAUAUCAGAAGAAAGAUCAUAAAGAAAGAUCUCAAAUAUUUAAAAUACAUAUGUAAGACCUUAAAUUCAAAUGCUUGGACUAUUAGGAAUGUGGUAAAUUCUAAAUAUAGGUUUGCAUUUGAUAUAUAAAAUAUAUAUACCAAAA